UACGGGGGGUGCAAGCGUUGUUCGGAAUUAUUGGGCGUAAAGAGCGUGUAGGCGGCGUGAUAAGUCAGAUGUGAAAGCCCUGGGCUUAACCCAGGAAGUGCAUUUGAAACUGUCUUGCUUGAGUACGGGAGAGGGAAGAGGAAUUCCUGGUGUAGAGGUGAAAUUCGUAGAUAUCAGGAGGAACACCGGUGGCGAAGGCGACUUCCUGGCCCGAUACUGACGCUGAGACGCGAGAGCGUGGGGAG
rnacentral:rRNA from 1 species